UACACAAUAAGGACUUGUUUGGUGGCUGCUGAAAGGAAAAUCAGAGUGAGGGUGUGUUGUUGAACAGUGGCAAUGGCGAUGGCGGCGUUCUCUUCAACAGCAGUUGCAACCGUUCCUCGAAUACUCGCAUUCGCUUCGUCCAAAAAACAAUCCUUAUCUCUUCUUUCAUCUUCUCCUUCUUCUUCAUCUUCUCGAUUUCUUUCAUUUCCCACUUCUCCAGCAAACCUCACUCUCUCUCUUCGAACCCCACGCGCCCACGCGUUUCCUUCCGCCUCGGCAUCAGCAUCCGCAUCCUUCCACGGCCUCUGCUACGUCGUCGGCGACAACAUCGACACCGACCAGAUCAUUCCCGCCGAGUACCUCACCCUCGUCCCUUCCAAGCCCGACGAGUACGAGAAGCUUGGUUCCUUCGCCCUCGUUGGUCUCCCCGCUUCCUACGCCACUCGAUUCAUCGAUCCCGGCGAGACCAAAACUAAGUACGCCAUCAUCAUCGCCGGCGCUAACUUCGGUUGCGGCUCCUCCCGCGAGCACGCGCCCGUCGCGCUCGGCGCCUCCGGUGUCGCUGCCGUCGUGGCCGAGUCCUACGCUCGCAUCUUCUUCCGAAACUCGGUGGCGACAGGCGAGGUGUAUCCGCUGGAAUCGGAGAGUCGCCUCUGCGAGGAGUGCAGAACCGGCGACGUGGUGACGAUCGAGCUCGGAGAGAAUCGGUUGAUCAAUCAUACCACCGGAAAGGAGUAUCGGUUGAAACCGAUCGGCGAUGCGGGUCCUGUGAUUGAGGCCGGUGGUAUCUUUGCGUAUGCUAGGAACACCGGCAUGAUUCCCUCUCGUUGAGGUAUUGCAUUCUUCUAUUCAAUUACUUUAUAGGCUAAUUAUGUAAUUGGGGACUAUAUGAGGAUUUAAAAUUCAGGAUUAAAGUGAUUAAUGCUUAGGGUUUGCUCAAGAAAAGAUGAUGAAGCAAAAACUUAUAUAUGUUAGAUGUGCUAUUGAUUAUGAAAGACUAACUUGAAGAAACUAAACAAUGAAUGUUAGAUAUGCAAGUUAUGAUCAUUAACAAGCUUUCACUGUAUAAGGACUGCAUGAAUUGUGGGUAGUUAAAUUCUUGAUAGUGAACCGAAGAACAGGUAGAAAAGGGUUCCUAUGACAUUCUUAGGAACUGCAAGAGUUAUGAUAGAUCCCCCGUUUCCAUUACUUGUCAUCCCAACCUAAGAAGGGAAGUAAGUAUUGAAAAGAGUAGGCUAAUAUUGCAAGUUAACUCAAAAUUUAAAAGAGUAAACUAAUAUUGCCUACCCCGAGGUUAGAUGCUGUGACAUGCGGAAUAAUUCCAUGGAAACCAUUUUCAGAUUAAUUUGAUUGUUGAUGUUAUUAUGGUAUUUUAAAAAUGAAAAUAAUACAAUGGAGCGGAUGCUAUUGUCAUUCAUUUGAGAUUUUGUUGUUUGAUUUGUUCUCAACAUUCAACAAGGUUUUUACAUCAUUUUUGAAAGUUAAAUUAGCGUGUCGAUGAAUCCAAAAUCUUGUUGGCUCGGCUCUUAUUUAUAUUUGUUCUUGACGUAGAUGAGACCAGACUUUUGUUCUAUGUUUUCUUUGGGGUUCUAACAUAUGUGUCUGCAUCGAUUGGAUUGGAAAACUUUUUACCCCCCAGAUAGAUGUUGCAUGUGACAGUAGACAUUUGGGGAAGCUGGAACAGUUUAUGGAUUUGUUGGAACUGUGUCAACUUUCUUGGCAGCCACUAGCAACUACCCAAUUAUUUGAGUACUUGCGGUACACUGCCUGCUCAAUUCAGAUUCUCUCUCAUAAUGCAGUUUCAAUUAACAGUCAAUUCUGCAGAUAAACUACUGAAUUGUGUAUUGUCUUUCUAAGGAGAAAGUUAAUUGGUUGAAGAUUAGCAUUGUAAUUUGGCGUUAGACUGUAGGAAAUAUGCAGUUUUCCUGGAUGUUAAGGCUUCCAUUAGAACAUUUGAAACUAUAGAUGCCUUCUGUAUCAGCAGGAUCUUUAGUUUAUUCUCAGUUUGUACCAAGUGCUGACUUGGAUAGGCCUGAUUUUAAAUAAUAUAGUUGAUAACAGGGGGAAUAAUGUUUUAAAUUUCCAAAUGUUGUACAAAAUACAAUAACCAUGUUUUGAUUAACAACAAAAUAAUAUAAAAAAUGGCAAAAAAAAAAAUGUUUCGGCCUGAAGUUUUAUCUUGUAUUUUGACUUCAGGAAGAUGCGUCGAAACUGAUCUCCUAAUGCCAGUUGCACAAACGAAAACCGUUUUCAAACAAUUUCUUGCUCCAAAUGCAUGAUAAACCUACACAUACUUGAAUAGAAAACAAAGACUAAAGAGGUUUAAACAAGAAUUUUGAUAGAUGCACCAGUUUUUCUUAAUUAAAAAACUUAUUGGCCCAAAAAAAAAUUAAAAUAAUCAAAAUUGCAUAUAAUCUAAGCUGAAGAUAUUAGAAAUACAAUUGAACAUUUUUUUUUUCUAAACAGUCAAUAAGUCAUCAUAAAUACGAGACAGCAAAGUGAGACAUGCAUUCAUUGUACUCCACCGGUUAGUUAACAAGUCUCUGCAUUUGAAUGUUUUGUAUAUGUUAAACAAUUUCUUAUCUGAUAUCAUGAAUAUGCUUUGUUAAGAAUUCACACAUUGGAGAUGUUCCAUGUCAUUUUGACAAUGUCUUUCCAGAGCUUAUGUUGUCUGUCUCAGACAUUAGGCUAUGUUAAUUCACCUAGAAACCUGUACAAGACACGGUCUUGCCAAGUAAAAGCUGCACCUCCAUCAUCAAUUAUUUUAAACACAUAUGAAAGUGAUGAACUUUCCGAGGAUUUGGAACUUUAUGGAUCUGCUACCCCUUUGGUCAAUCACUCCAGUAGCGGGGGAACAAUUGGAGGGGUAUCUAUUUAUGCUACUCUCAAAUUCUUUUAGGAAAAUUGUGGAGUUCGGUUCUGAAGAUGGAGGAAACCCCCCUCCUUUGAAUGUUAUAAAUAAAAGGGUUUUUCUUGAGUCUUCUGGGGCUCGUUGCAUUGUGAUGCCUUGUCAUGUAUCACCUUCUUGGUAUAAAAAGAUGUCAGAGGGAUGUUCUUUCCUUUUCUUCACAUGGCUGAGUGUGUUGCCAGGAAGCUCAAGAAGCUAAGUGAAAGCCACUUGAAGCUGGUAAUUCUUUGCGGAUUGGAGUGCUUGCAACUGAUGCAACUCUAGCAGCUGGGUUUUAUCUGGAGAAGCUUCAGAAUGAAUGAAUUUCCCCUAGCACAUAAUAUGUGGUGAUAUUGUUUUAAUAGAUAGUUCUUUU